rnacentral:lncRNA from 1 species
AUCAGAUUGCUCUCCUGACCACUAAUAACAUGAAUAGCUGACCACAAUGAAAUCUCUAAAACUAUCACGUGUUGCUUUUGCUUCUUGCAAGUUUCACAUCAUAUAUUGCUCAAGAAGAUAGACUACCAAUCAAGUUAUACACAUUGUUGUUUGAAAGGUUUAUGUAAUAAUGCUUGGACAGAUUCAGAACAUAAGUAACAAUAGAGAAUCCAACAGAAAAAGUCUUAGUAAUCGUAAUAAUCCACGACAAGGUUGAAAAAAUUAUGAACCUCAACAGGCUUCUAAUACUUCCGAUAACCACAUUCAAAACAGAAAGUUAGAAUGCACAAGUUAGAAUCAUUAUUCCCUACUUUGAGAUAUGAAUACUAUUAAGUUUCUCAAAGUUUUACGACUCAUGUCAUCCUUGCAGAAUACACAAUCUGUUUUAGAGAUAUGAUUACAAUUAAGUUUCUCAGUUUUUUGAGUCAUUUAAUCCUUACAAUAUACACGGUUCUGUUCCAGUAGUAGAAAUCUUCAAACACACAAAAACACAAAAAUGUUUAUAUUUCUAAUUACCCCACAUUAUUGAAUAUUACAUACUAGCGCUUUCUAGAGCUAUCUACAUUCACAAUUACCACAAUCAAGACACAACAUAAAAUAAAUGAAUGUCCUACUUAAGAAUUGGUAUAUACAAGCAAGGAAAAUUCGAAAAAUAAAGCAACAAUCUUUUGGUAUGAACUAGGAAGAGUAACGCAAAACCUAUUAUCAAACUCUUCAUUGUUUCCCUUAUUCAUAAAACUGGAGCAGUCGAAAUUUAAAAUCCCCUUAUAAUCAACUAAUGUCCUAUCAUCCUAAUUUACCAAUCAGAGUAACGCAACAGCGAUUUAAAACUAAUCAACCUUCAAUUCAAAAACACGACAUUAUUACUUUUCCAAGAAUAUAGCCCAUAGUUCGUACUGGCUUACGCACUUUUUUUGUCUAUGCAUCGAGAACAGUAAUAGAAGUAUAUACGUAAAGAAGAUGAAUAUACAUACCCCAUUGUUGCAGAAUGAAGAGAACGAACAACCCGAGAGCGUUGAAGUGUAGGAGAAGAAGAAGAGGAUGCGCCGAAACUAGUGUAAAACCCUAAUCCCAGAAGAACAUUACGAAUGUGUGCAAGUUAUAGUAAAGCCUUGUUGGGUCGGGUAUCUGAAGCCCAGUGGCCCAAUUAUACCAGUUGGUCCAUCGCUCUAGCAGAUCACACAAGCCUAUUAAGAUUUGAAGAGAGAAUUUUACAAUUAAACUGGCUGUAUAGAGCAACAAUUUACAGAUCUCCUACAGGAUACUCUCAUGGAGGUCGAGCCCAUGUAAUAAAAAAUGACAAAAAAAAAAUGCUGACUCCACCCAUUGUAAGAUAUCUUUA